rnacentral:tRNA from 1 species
GCGGAAAUAGCUCAGUUGGUAGAGCACAAGCUUCCCAAGCUUGGGGUCGCGGGUUCGAGUCCCGUUUUCCGCU